UCUUUUGUGGAUCUUCAGUUACUUCAGGCCAUCUGGAUGUAUGCGUGCAAGUCACGGGAUGUGAUGGCCUGGCCUGGGCUCAGAGGCCUGACAUUCCUGCCUUCUUAUAUUAAUAAGACAAAUAAAACAAAAUAGCGUUGAAGUGUUGGAGCGGCGGAAAUUUUUGGGGGGUGGUAUGGAGAGAGAACGGGUGAUGUUUCUCAGGGCUGCUUCGAGCGGGAUUAGGGGCGGCGUGGGAACCUAGAGUGGGAGAGAUUAAGCUGAAGGGAGGUCUUGUGGUAAGGGGUGAUAUUGUGGGGAUGUUAGAAGAAACAUUUGUCGUAUAGAAUGAUUGGUGAUGGCCUGGAUACGGUUUUGGAUGAAUUGAGAAGCUAAACGGAAGAUACAAGGUCCGAAUAAAAGGAGGAGAAAAAUGGGUAUUAAAGGACUAAGAAUUGGGAGGACCCAGGACAUCCAAUUAGAGAGUGCCCAAGGGGGUUCAGCGUAAUUACUUGCUUGGUUGGCAAGUUUUUGGGCUCUAUCCUUGAGUUUUUUUAUGUUGUCAUACACCAGGCCAGAUGCAUUUAGGUAAAAACAACACUCCUCAUUUAAGAAUAUGCAGAGUCCUCCUUUUUCAGCAGUAAGUCAGUCAAGGCCUUGGCGGUUUUGGAGGACAACUGCAGCUGAAGAGUCAACUUGGGCCUGGAGGACUGAUAAAGUUUGUGAUUUUGAGGGCCUCUAAAAGUAUUAAAGCAGCGGCAGCCGCUGCACGCAGACAUGAGGGCUAGGUUAAAACAGUAAGGUCAAGUUGUUUGGACAGAAAGGCUACAGGGUGUGGUCCUGGCUCUUGUGUAAGAAUUACGACCACGCUAACCAUGCCUAGGAAGGAAAGGAGUUAUUGUUUUGUAGAAAGGUGCCGGGGUUUGAGAGAUCAGUCGGACACGAUUGGCAGGGAGAGCACGUGUGUUUUUAUGAGAAUUAUGCCGAGAUAGGUAACAGAUGAGGAAGAAAUUUGGGCUUGAUUGAAGUAAUGGGGGCUGUCUGUGAAGCCUUGCGGCAGUACAGCCUAGGUAAUUUGCUGAGCCUAAUGGGUGUCAGGGUCAGUCCAAGUGAAAGCAAAGAGAGGCUGGGAUGAAGGGUGCAAAGGAAUAGUAAAGAAAGCAUGUUUGAGAUCCAGAACAGAAUAAUGGGUUGUAGAGGCAGGUAUUGAGGAUAGGAGAGUAUAUGGGUUUGGCACCACGGGGUGGAUAGGCAAAACAAUUUGGUUGAUAAGGCACAGAUUCUGAACUAACCUGUAAGCCCUGUCUGGUUUUAGGACAGGUAAAAUGGGGGAAUGGUAAGGAGAGUUUAUAGGUUUUAGAAGCCCAUGCUGUAGCAGGCGAGUGAUAACAGGCUUUAAUCCUUUUAAAGCAUGCUGUGGGAUGGGAUACUGGCGUUGAGUGGGGUAAGGGUGAUUAGGUUUUAACGGGAUGGUAAUGGGCAUGUGAUCAGUUGCCAGGGAAGGAGUAGAGAUGUCCCAUACUUGUGGGUUAAGGUGGGGGGAUAUGAAAGAAAGACGCGAAGGAGGCUUUGGGUUAGCGAGAAGGGCAGCAAUGAGUUGCAGCUGUAGUCCAGGAAUAGUCAGGGAAGCAGAUAAUUUGGUUAAAAUAUCUCGGCCUAAUAAGGGAACUGGGCAGGUGGGGAUAACUAAAAAAGAGUGCAUAAAAGAGUGUCGUCCAAGUUGGCACCAGAGUGGGGGAGUUUUAAGAGGUUUAGAAGCCUGGCUGUCAAUACCCACAACAGUUAUGGAGGCAAGGGAAACAGGCCCUUGAAAAGCAGGUGGCGACACGGAGGCCCAGAGUGAGGAAGUCAUGUAUUCAAGGUGGCAGAGCUGGGAUUUGUAUAUCAUCUCUGUACCUGAGCCCCUAACCUGCAAGUCAUAAUAGGCAACGGAUCAAUGUUAUGAUGCAGUGGAGGCCCUUACCAGAAGCCAACCAGAUGCCAGCACCAUGCUCUUGGAUUUCCCAGUCUCCAGAAUGGUGCAGGUGGAGACGGAACCCUAGACACUGCUCAUCCCAAUCAGGCCCUUUCCAGGCCUGUCCCAUUCCAAUCGGGCAUCAGAUGUGGCAUUGAUCAUCAUCUACUUAACAAACGAGGCUCCCCUUUCAAUGCACUUGGGUCUCCUCUGGGCCAACCUUGGUUCUGAGAUAGCAGGUGCUGAAAUACUGCUGAAUCCUCAAAGCCAGACUAGCCAGUGCCUGGCACCUGAUGGGAAUAUGAUUUCAACGAACAGCUCACAGAAUCCUCCCCACAAAGCCGAGAAGCAGGAAGCAGCAACCCUCCCAGAUGAAGAAGCGAAGGCUCGGAAAAGCUAAGUAACUUCUCCAAGCUGACGCAGCUCGUGAGAGGAGGGACUGGGAUUCAAAUCCCUGCAGGGGGAGACCAGCAGCCCCGACUUCAGCCGCCAUGCCUCCUGCCUGAGAAGCUAGCUGCGAAGGUUCCAGAAGGAGACUGCCCUCCGGGAACAGAAACAGCGCAUGACUGCGACCUGUCUGCAAAAAUCUUGAUCACUUGUAAAUCCUUCUCCACCUGAUAAGUUAUCACAUUGGCUCAUGAUGUUUUUUUUCAUUCUCACCCUAUGGCGUGGAUGCUGUUACUACCCCAUUUUACAAAGGAGUAAAGUGAGGCCCAGAGAGAACAGUUAAAUCACUUCCCCAGCUUCACUCAACUCAUCUACGGUGAGUCGACGGUACACAUGCCCUUCCACAACACAAAGGUCUCCACUUUGCCACGUGUCACUCUGAUGGUUCCAGGUGCAGAUUUUGCGUCUGCUUCUUGACUUCUAAUGGCUGCACCAUUUUGCAUUGGAUGGUUAUACCAUCAUUUAUUUGACUCAUCUCCUGUGCACAAGCAUCUAGUUUAUCUGCAAACUUUUGCUACCAAAAACAAUGCUGCAAUGAAUAAAUAAGCUGAUGCCUGCUUCUAAGCGUGCGUGCAUGCUGUAAUGUGAGAUGAAUUCCCAGAAGUGGAGUGGCUGAGUCCAAGAGUAAAUGCAUUUUUCAUUUUGAUAGUAUCGCCAAAUGUCUUUCCAAAGGGGUUGUGCUGGAUCCCACUCCAGCUAGCAAUGUGUGAGAGCACCAAUCCCACCGCCCACUGCAGCACACAUAUUGACGUCGGCUAGUCCAAUACCAGCACAGGCAGCUGGGC
rnacentral:lncRNA from 1 species